rnacentral:SRP_RNA from 1 species
GCUGGGUGUGGUGGCUCAUGCCUGUAAUCCCAGCACUUUGGGAGGCUGAGGUGGGUGGAUCACUUGAGGCCAGGAGUUCGAGACCAGCCUGGCCAACAUGGUGAAACCCCAUCUCUA